rnacentral:misc_RNA from 1 species
UAAAUUACUUGACUGGUAGUAAAUGUUUGACGCUGCUACGUAUUCGAAAAGCUAUGAAUGAAACGCAAGUUUCUUAUUGGCCUAGUAAUUUUUAGUGGCAGUUAGUUUACUUCUGGGUAGAGUUUAUACCUUAUAGGCGCUAGCUUGCUAGUGAUCUGAACCAAGGUCUCAAAUCAGGUAGGAAGACCCGCUGAACUUAA